AUGCGUUUCUAUUGAAGCCAAAAUCGUUGAUUCACGAGAAUGAUUUUAUUGUAAAUAUUGUACUAUAACUAACAUUUAUUAUAAUAUUAGUUAGAUACUCAAUUCUGUUUCAAUGUUACAUGGAACACGUACUCUCGGUCUUAAACUAAGUACUUCUAAUUUUAGUGUUUAACACUUCAUUCUUAUUGUUAGUAUCGCACGCACUACAUGCUGCAUUCCAACGCGUAGGAGAUGCCUUAAAUAAUGCAGCUGGGUGUAAUGCUUUCCGAAUUAUUAGUCAUAGUUGUGGUAGCGUACCACCGAGAAGUCAAAAACAGGGUUUGCGAACGCAUAUCACGUUGCACAAAAAGACGGAGACUAAAUUGAAUUAAAUAAGAGAUACCAGCUGACGCAGUGCACGGGGAACGCUCCCUACAGGGCGGUACACAAGCGCGAUUACCAUGCCGCCCCCGCCAUUCUACCAAACCAGUGUCUCCCACCGUGGUGGCACAGCGCGCUUCUUCUCAAAACGUUGGUCACGCGUCAGAACUUCGUUUAAUUAUGAAUUUUUUUAUUAUCUUAAUUAAUUAAUUAAUUUUAAGAAUGUAAAAUUCGAAAUCAGACGCUACCGACGCGAGUAUUAUUUUGAAUUUACUCUUUCUGAAUGUUAAUUAUUUUCCCAUAUGUGGAUGUGAUUAUACAGGGUGUUUCGUAAUAUGUGGCACCUGCUUCGAGGGCUGACUGUUACGUCUAUAAAAACAAUGAAAAAAAUAUCACGUAAA